UUCUUGCCGUCAUGAAGACUCGACCAAUCAGUGCCCGAAAGGGAGCCGCCCGCCUCCUGUGGCAAAUCCCAGGGACUAAUAGAAAUGGCGGGCGGAAGACUGGCCAAUGAGGCUCCCGGAACCGGGGUGGGGUGGGGCCCCGCGGGAGCUUCGUCCCGGGGAGAGCUCCGAGGCUCCUGGUGCUGCGGCUCGGGUGCGGCUGUGGGUCUACCUGCUGGUGGGAUUCGUGUGUCACUGACUUCGCUGGGCCGGGUUCGUGACGUCAUAAAACAUGAAGGUAGCUGAAUCCAGGCCAGAACUAACAUUUGCUCGAGAAUGGGUCCCAAAAAGUUGUAGGAGCUGGCUACAAGCCUGACAUCCACAGCGCCAGCAGGCAGAAAGCAGAGAUCACAAGCAGGAUGGGACCUCACAAGAGUGAAGUUGGUGGUAAGAACAUCUUACAGAAGCCAGAGCUCUCGGUCCUGGAGUUGAACACAUACACUUGGCCCAAAACUCAGUGAAAUUGAAUGAGGAUCCUGCUGGAAUGGAAAGCAAUUUCAGGCCCAGCUGCUGCUUCACACCAACAAGGCAAAUCAGCAGAUCAGCAACAACAUGAGUUUUGUC